UACGUAGGGGGCUAGCGUUGUCCGGAAUCAUUGGGCGUAAAGAGCGCGUAGGCGGCCAGAUAAGUCCGGUGUGAAAGUCAAAGGCUCAACCUUUGAAUGCCGCUGGAAACUGUCUGGCUAGAGUCCGGGAGGGGCGAGUGGAAUUCCCGGUGUAGCGGUGAAAUGCGCAGAUAUCGGGAGGAACACCAAUGGCGAAGGCAGCUCGCUGGGACGGUACUGACGCUGAGACGCGAAAGCGUGGGGAGCAAACAGG
rnacentral:rRNA from 1 species